rnacentral:rRNA from 1 species
GGGCUCGGGAAACGUAUCCUAACGUUGCAUCGGCAGGAGUCGAGCGGCGGACGGGUGAGUAAUGCAUAGGAAUCUGCCCGGUAGUGGGGGAUAACUUGAGGAAACUCAAGCUAAUACCGCAUACGCCCUACGGGGGAAAGCAGGGGCUCUUCGGACCUUGCGCUAUCGGAUGAGCUUAUGUCGGAUUAGCUGGUUGGUGAGGUAACGGCUCACCAAGGCGACGAUCCGUAGCUGGUCUGAGAGGAUGAUCAGCCACAUCGGGACUGAGACACGGCCCGAACUCCUACGGGAGGCAGCAGUGGGGAAUAUUGGACAAUGGGGGCAACCCUGAUCCAGCCAUGCCGCGUGUGUGAAGAAGGCCCUCGGGUUGUAAAGCACUUUCAGCGAGGAAGAAUGCUUGUCGGUUAAUACCCGGCAAGGGAGACAUCACUCGCAAAAAAAGCACCGGCUAACUCCGUGCCAGCAGCCGCGGUAAUACGGAGGGUGCGAGCGUUAAUCGGAAUUACUGGGCGUAAAGCGUGCGUAGGCGGCUUGAUAACCCGGUUGUGAAAGCCCCGGCCUCAACCUGGGAACCGCAUCCGGAACUGUUAGGCUAGAGAGCAGCGACAAGAAGGUAGAAUUCCCCGCGUAGCGGCUAGAAAUACGUCAGAGAUCGGGAAGGAAUACCAAUGGCAAAGAGCGCCCGUCUGCUACUCACACUGACACUAAGGUACGAAAGCGUGGGUAGCAAACAGGAUUAGAUACCCUGGUAGUCCACGCCGUAAACGAUGUCGACUAGCCGUUGGGGUCCUCGAGACCUUUGUGGCGCAGUUAACGCACUAAGUCGACCGCCUGGGGAGUACGGCCGCAAGGUUAAAACUCAAAUGAAUUGACGGGGGCCCGCACAAGCGGUGGAGCAUGUGGUUUAAUUCGAUGCAACGCGAAGAACCUUACCUACCCUUGACAUCGUGCGAACUUUCCAGAGAUGGAAUGGUGCCUUCGGGAGCGCACAGACAGGUGCUGCAUGGCUGUCGUCAGCUCGUGUUGUGAAAUGUUGGGUUAAGUCCCGUAACGAGCGCAACCCUUGUCCCUAUUUGCCAGCGAUUCGGUCGGGAACUCUAGGGAGACUGCCGGUGACAAACCGGAGGAAGGUGGGGACGACGUCAAGUCAUCAUGGCCCUUACGGGUAGGGCUACACACGUGCUACAAUGGCCGGUACAAUGGGUUGCAAAGCGGCGACGUGGAGCUAAUCUCAUAAAGCCGGUCUCAGUCCGGAUCGGAGUCUGCAACUCGACUCCGUGAAGUCGGAAUCGCUAGUAAUCGUGCAUCAGAAUGGCACGGUGAAUACGUUCCCGGGCCUUGUACACACCGCCCGUCACACCAUGGGA